ACACAUGUCAAAAAUGUUAUAAAAUGAUUUGCAUUUUAAUGAGGGAAAUAAUUAUUAGACUCCUCUGCAAAACAUGACUUAGUACUUGGUGGCAAAACCCUUGUUGGCAUUCACAGAGGUCAGACGUUUCUUGUAGUUGGCCACCAGGUUUGCACACAUCUCAGGAGGGAUUUUUGUCCCACUCCUCUUUGCAGAUCUUCUCCAAGUCAUUAACGUUUCGAGGCUGACGUUUGGCAACUCAAACCUUCAGCUCCCUCCACAGAUUUUCUAUGGGAUUAAGGUCUGGAGGCUGGCUAGGCCACUCCAGGACCUUAAUGUGCAUCUUCUUGAGCCACUCUUUUGUUGCCUUGGCCGUGUGUUUUGGGUCAUUGUCAUGCUGGAAAACCCAUCCACAACCCAUUUUCAAAGCCCUGGCUGAGGGAAGGAGGUUCUCACCAAAGAUUUGAUGGUACAUGGCCCCGUCCAUCGUCCCUUUGAUGCGGUGAAGUUGUCCUGUCCCCUUAGCAGAAAAACACCCCCAAAGCAUAAUGUUUCCACCUCCAUGUUCUUGUGGUCAUAGGCAGCAUUCCUCCUCCUCCAAACACGGCAAGUUGAGUUGAUGCCAAAGAGCUCCAUUUUGGUCUCAUCUGACCACAACGCUUUCACUCAGUUGUCCUCUGAAUCGUUCAGAUGUUCAUUGGCAAACUUCAGACGGGCAUGUAUAUGUGCUUUCUUGAGCAGGGGGACCUUGUGGGUGCUGCAGGAAUUCAGUACUUCACGGCGUAGUGUGUUACCAAUUGUUUUCUUGGUGACUAUGGUCCCAGCUGCCUUGAGAUCAUCGACUUGAUCCUCCCGUGUAGUUCUGGGCUGAUUCCUCACCGUUCUCAUGAUCAUUGCAACUCCACGAUGUGAGAUCUUGCAUGGAGCCCCAGGCCGAGGGAGAUUGACAGUUCUUUUGUGUUUCUUCCAUUUGCGAAUAAUCGCACCAACUGUUGUCACCUUCUCACCAAGCUGCUUGGCGAUGGUCUUGUAGCUCAUUCCAGCCUUGUGUAGGUCUACAAUCUUGUCCCUGACAUCCUUGGAGAGCUCUUUGGUCUUGGCCAUGGUGGAGAGUUUGGAAUCUGAUUGAUUGAUUGCUUCUGUGGACAGGUGUCUUUUAUACAGGUAACAAGCUGAGAAUAGGAGCACUCCCUUUAAGAGUGUGCUCCUAAUCUCAGCUCGUUAACUGUAUAAAAGACACCUGGGAGCCAGAAAUCUUUCUGAUUGAGAGGGG
rnacentral:lncRNA from 1 species